GUACGGGAGGCAGCAGUAGGGAAUUUUCGGCAAUGGGCGCAAGCCUGACCGAGCAACGCCGCGUGAGGGAAGAAGGUCUUCGGAUCGUAAACCUUUGUCUUUGGGGACGAUAAUGACGGUACCCAAGGAGGAAGCCACGGCUAACUACGUGCCAGCAGCCGCGGUAAUACGUAGGUGGCAAGCGUUGUCCGGAAUUACUGGGCGUAAAGGGCGUGUAGGCGGUAAAUUAAGUCAGACGUGAAAACUCAGGGCUUAACCUUGAGACUGCGUUUGAAACUGAUAGACUAGAGGAUCGGAGAGGGCAGUGGAAUUCCCAGUGUAGCGGUGAAAUGCGUAGAUAUUGGGAGGAACACCAGUGGCGAAGGCGACUGCCUGGACGACACCUGACGCUGAGGCGCGAAAGCCAGGGGAGCAAACGGGAUUAGAUACCCUGGUAGG
rnacentral:rRNA from 1 species